UAAGACGUAGGGGACGAGCGUUGUCCGGAUUUAUUGGGCGUAAAGCGCGCGCAGGCGGCCACGUAAGUCGGAUGUGAAAUCCCGGGGCUCAACCCCGGAACUGCAUUCGAUACUGCGUGGCUCGAGGUAGGUAGGGGAGAUCGGAAUUCCUGGUGUAGCGGUGGAAUGCGCAGAUAUCAGGAGGAACACCGGUGGCGAAGGCGGAUCUCUGGGCCUUACCUGACGCUCAGGCGCGAAAGCUAGGGGAGCGAACAGGAUUAGAUACCCUGGUAGUCCACGCCGUAAACGUUGGGCGCUAGGUGUGGGGCUCAUUCCACGAGUUCCGUGCCGCAGCUAACGCAUUAAGCGCCCCGCCUGGGGAGUACGGCCGCAAGGCUA
rnacentral:rRNA from 1 species